rnacentral:rRNA from 1 species
UACGUAGGAGGCGAGCGUUGUCCGGAAUUAUUGGGCGUAAAGAGCUCGUAGGCGGUGUGUCACGUCGGCCGUGAAAACCUGGGGCUUAACUCUGGGCGUGCGGUCGAUACGGGCAUCACUAGAGUUCGGCAGGGGAGACUGGAAUUCCUGGUGUAGCGGUGAAAUGCGCAGAUAUCAGGAGGAACACCGGUGGCGAAGGCGGGUCUCUGGGCCGAUACUGACGCUGAGGAGCGAAAGCAUGGGUAGCGAACAGG